AUUGAACGCUGGCGGCAGGCCUAACACAUGCAGGUCGAACGGUAACAGGAAACAGCUUGCUGUUUCGCUGACGAGUGGCGGACGGGUGAGUAAUGUCUGGGAAACUGCCUGAUGGAGGGGGAUAACUACUGGAAACGGUAGCUAAUACCGCAUAACGUCGCAAGACCAAAGAGGGGGACCCUCGGGCCUCUUGCCAUCGGAUGUGCCCAGAUGGGAUUAGCUUGUUGGCGGGGUAACGGCUCACCAAGGCGACGAUCCCUAGCUGGUCUGAGAGGAUGACCAGCCACACUGGAACUGAGACACGGUCCAGACUCCUACGGGAGGCAGCAGUGGGGAAUAUUGCACAAUGGGCGCAAGCCUGAUGCAGCCAUGCCGCGUGUAUGAAGAAGGCCUUCGGGUUGUAAAGUACUUUCAGCGGGGAGGAAGGGAGUAAAGUUAAUACCUUUGCUCAUUGACGUUACCCGCAGAAGAAGCACCGGCUAACUCCGUG
rnacentral:rRNA from 1 species